GACGAACGCUGGCGGCGUGCCUAAUACAUGCAAGUAGAACGCUGAAGGAGGAGCUUGCUCUUCUGGAUGAGUUGCGAACGGGUGAGUAACGCGUAGGUAACCUGCCUGGUAGCGGGGGAUAACUAUUGGAAACGAUAGCUAAUACCGCAUAAUAGUAGAUGUUGCAUGACAUUUACUUGAAAGGUGCAAUUGCAUCACUACCAGAUGGACCUGCGUUGUAUUAGCUAGUUGGUGGGGUAACGGCUCACCAAGGCGACGAUACAUAGCCGACCUGAGAGGGCGAUCGGCCACACUGGGACUGAGACACGGCCCAGACUCCUACGGGAGGCAGCAGUAGGGAAUCUUCGGCAAUGGACGGAAGUCUGACCGAGCAACGCCGCGUGAGUGAAGAAGGUUUUCGGAUCGUAAAGCUCUGUUGUAAGAGAAGAACGAGUGUGAGAGUGGAAAGUUCACACUGUGACGGUAUCUUACCAGAAAGGGACGGCUAACUACGUGCCAGCAGCCGCGGUAAUACGUAGGUCCCGAGCGUUGUCCGGAUUUAUUGGGCGUAAAGCGAGCGCAGGCGGUUAGAUAAGUCUGAAGUUAAAGGCUGUGGCUUAACCAUAGUACGCUUUGGAAACUGUUUAACUUGAGUGCAAGAGGGGAGAGUGGAAUUCCAUGUGUAGCGGUGAAAUGCGUAGAUAUAUGGAGGAACACCGGUGGCGAAAGCGGCUCUCUGGCUUGUAACUGACGCUGAGGCUCGAAAGCGUGGGGAGCAAACAGG
rnacentral:rRNA from 1 species